rnacentral:rRNA from 1 species
UAAAGUGGCGAACGGCUGAGUAACACGUGGGCAACCUGCCCUUUGCACUGGGAUAGCCUCGGGAAACCGAGGUUAAUACCGGAUACUCCAUAUUUGUCGCAUGGCGAAUAUGGGAAAGCUCCGGCGGCAAAGGAUGGGCCCGCGGCCUGUUAGCUAGUUGGUGGGGUAGUGGCCUACCAAGGCAAUGAUGGGUAGCCGGGUUGAGAGACCGACCGGCCAGAUUGGGACUGAGACACGGCCCAGACUCCUACGGGAGGCAGCAGAA